rnacentral:lncRNA from 1 species
CCUUGACGUGUCAGUCAAUGAAUUCAAUCAUAUGUUUCCUGAGAACAUUGGGUUGAUACUUCCACAUUUACGGUAUAUGAAUAUAUCGAAGAACGGCUUUCAAGGAAAUCUGCCAUCUUCUCUGGGUAACAUGAGUAGGAUUGACACUCUGGAUGUAUCUCACAACAGUUUCCAGGGAAAGCUACCAAGAAGCUUAGUAAAGGGUUGUUAUAACUUGGCUUACUUGAAGUUGUCACAUAACAAACUAAGUGGAGAGGUUUUUCCAGAAUCAGCAGAGUUAUAUGAUUUACGUUGGCUGUAUAUGGAUAACAAUCAGUUUACAGGAAAUAUUGGACAAGGUUUGCAGAACUUGACAUUUUUGCAUAUCCUUGAUAUAUCGAAUAACAAUCUCACGGGUGUUAUUCCAAGCUGGGUUGGCGAACUUCCAAGGUUAUAUGCAAUACUGCUUUCAAACAACUCGUUGGAAGGUGAAAUACCUACGUCGUUGUUCAACAAAACUUUUCUUCUGCUAUUGGACCUCUCUGCAAACAGUUUAUCUGGGGGAUUACCUCCACACGUCGAUUCUACAUUGCCGGUAAUAUUGCUCCUGCAAGACAAUCAUCUAUCAGGAGAUAUUCCAGACACAUUGCUGGCAAAUGUCAGCAUACUUGAUCUGAGAAACAACAGAUUGUCUGGGAAUAUACCGGAGUUCAUCAACACCCAAAGCAUCAGUGUUCUUCUUCUCCGAGGGAAUAAUUUAACAGGUCAUGUUCCUCGUCAGUUGUGUGGCCUAAGAAACAUCCAACUUCUGGAUCUUGCCAACAACAGAUUGAAUGGAUCCAUACCUUCAUGUCUCAGCAAUACAUCAUUUGGUUUGGGGAAAGAGGAUAAUGCAUUUCACGUUUCUAAUCUCGAUCUAGGUAUAGAGCGUGUUUAUGAUGAUCCCGAUAGAUAUUUCAAACCUCUUCUUAUUGAGCUAGAUCCGCUUUAUUGGCAAAUCGCGGUAGCCACCCAGACGAAAGUUGAAUUUGCAACAAAACACCGAUAUGAUGCCUACAUGGUGGGUGGAAUUCUCAAAUAUCUGUUUGGGCUAGAUCUCUCUGAAAAUGAGCUAAGCGGUGAGAUUCCAAUAGAGCUUGGAGGUCUUCUGGAGAUACAAGCUUUCAAUCUUUCUCACAACAACUUAUCAGGCGUGAUACCAGAUAGCUUUUCAGGUCUGAAGAAUGUGGAAAGCCUUGAUCUUUCCUUCAACAGAUUACAAGGCCGGAUCCCAUCAAGACUAGCAGAUCUGAGCAGCCUAGCUGUGUUCAAUGUCUCAUACAACAACUUAUCAGGAGUCACUCCCCAGGGAAGACAGUUUAACACCUUCGAUAUGCAAAGCUACUUAGGUAACCCUCUUCUCUGUGGAAAAUCAACCAACACAACCUGCGACAGUAAUAUCAUUCACGCACCAGAUAAUGUAGUGAAGGACGAAGAAAGCACAAUCGACAUGGUUUCUUUCUACUGGAGUUUUGCAGCAGCCUACGUUACAAUACUUCUUGGAAUAUUUGCAUCUCUCUCUUUUGAUUCUCCUUGGAGUAGGUUUUGGUUCUACAAGGUUGAUGUUUUCAUCCACAAGGCGAGGAAUUUGUUGUGGUAAACUACUACUGUUAGUGUGAAUUUCAUUAAUGUGCCCCAUCUGUUGCUAUUCUUCUCAAAACCUCUUGCUUUGUUUUACAAAACCAGAACAUAACAUGUUUGGUUCCUCUGUACUGUCUUUGAAUAAAUGUAAUGCCUCAAACAUUCCUAGAGCUUGUUUUGAGGUUGAUUCAAUAAAUAAUAUAUUAUAAUUAUGAAGAACAAGAACUUCCAUGAAAAAAAAAAAAAAAAACUCAUAAGUAGGAAAAAAAAUACAGAGACUUUUCCGUUAGUUCUCUUGCUUCUAUACCGCUUUAUAGUUUUAUUUCAGGUAACCAUCUCAAGAACUUCAGUCACAAUAUAUGAUUAUGAAUCAGAAGAGCAAAAGAAAGACCAGAGAGAAACACUUAACACAGUUAAAGAGUUAGAGUACGAAGAGUAAUUACUAGUGUAUAUAUCUAGUCUUUCUUCAACAGCCUUAGCUACUGGUCCGUGAAAAGCGUUCUUCGCCUUCCUGACUUUGCUUGCAGACGGCCAGUCUCCGCAUGUACGAUCUCAUUCACCAGAUCCUUGAAGAUAAGCCUCUCCACAUCCAGCACCAAUCCUGAGAUUUCUCCAUUGAAGUCCACCCAAUUCCCAGACCGAACCAUUACAUCUUCUGCAAGUAUACUUUUCAAGAAGUCGUCUUCUUCCUCCAACAAGAAGUUUUCUGAUCUCUUUGUGGCUUGCUUUUGCAGUGUUUCUAUCUCUGAACACAGUUCUUUCAGUAGCUGUUGCGCACUCAUGGCUUUCUUAGUCAUCUUAGUUGAUGACUUCAUCAAUGGAUUCAUCGUGGCUUCAACCGAAGCUAGUUUCUCCACAAGAAUUUCAUUAACGGUGGUGUCAAACACAAGUUUGCGGUUGAGCUUCUCCUUGUUCAAAACCUUGCUUUCUUCUUUGUGUAACAGAUGCGUAGUGCUGCUUCCCUUUGUCUUGAAUGGUUUUUACCUGCAACAAGACUUGUCAUACAAAAAACGUCAGUGCAUAUUUCAAAUCUCUGCUCAUGCUUGAUCCUUUUAGUAUGAACUACAAGGCAAGUACUCAGAAAAAAAUUUAGUUUGCAACGAAACACAGAUACGAUGCCUACAUGGGUGGAAACCUCAAAUUAUUGUAUGGAUUGGAUCUCUCGAAAAAUGAGCUGAGCGGUGAGAUUCCAGUUAAGUUUGGACAUCUUCUGGAACUAAGAGCUUUCAACCUCUCUCACAACAAGUUAUCAGGAGUGAUACCAGAAACCUUUUAAGGUAUGAAGAAUGUGGAAAGGCUUGAUCUUUCUUUCAACAGAUUACAUGGCCGGAUUCCAACACAAUUAACAGAGCGAGCAGCCUCUCGGUCAUCAAGGUCUCGUACAACAACUUAUCAGGAGUCAUUCCACAGGGAAAACAGUUUAACACCUUCGAUACACAAAGCUUCGAAGGUAAUCAACUUCUCUGUGGACAACCAACAAGCAGAAGCUGCAACAUUUAUGCUACCUUUCAAGAGCCAGAUGAUGAAGUGGAAGCUGAUGAAUCCGCAAUGGACAUGGAAUCUCUCUACUGGAGUUUCGCUGCAGCGUAUGUGACAAUACUUGUUGGAAUACUCGCAUUGCUCUCAUUAGAUUCUCCUUGGAGAAGAUUGUGGUUCUACAUCGUUGAUGCUUUUAUCUACAAGUUGAGGGAUAUGUGUUCGGUGUGGUAAAACUACUGUUAGUGUCAAGUCCAUUAAUGUGCUACUUUCGUUCAUGUCCUCAUUUGUUGAUGUUUGUCAUCAUAUCCUCCUCCUCUGUUACUCAUAACCAGAACAAGACAUUUGUUAUGUUCCUAUGUGUUGUCUGUCUUUAAUUAAAUGUAAUGUCUCAAAGGCUCAAGCAUAUCUUAGAGCUUUGUAUGCCUUAAUUUUCAGCUUUGUAUGAUUCUUAUAUUCGUUGGACUUCCUUUCAGAACUUGGAGAUUUAAAAAAAUUGGAACUGCUUGACCUGAGUAGUAACAGAUUUAACGGCUGCUAUGGAGGAUUAGUGUCUCGUCAAAAUGGCGUCACUGAAACGGCGGCGUUCUCUCAUUCUGGCUUUUACAUCCUUUUUUUUUUUUUUUUUUUUUUUUUUUUCAUUCUUUAUUCCGCAAACCUUUAAAAGGCGACUUUUCAAAAAAUUACAAGGAGAAUUCCCACGCGGAAUAAAGAACCUUACAUACCCAAGGAAUAAAAAACAAGACUUGAAACUCGCAUGAAACAAGAACAUAGCAUGAUGACCAGGCGAAAGAAACAUAGAUAAGAUUGAGAUGGGAGUUAAGACUGAAAAAAUCUGAACCACGUUUGAAGAAACGAUUCCGAAGAUGACGAAGUACCCUGAGGGAGAAUCCGGGGAUAGGAGAUAGCUUGUCUAUCAAGACCAGCUAGCUUGGCUCUAAGCAACAACUGGAGGUCUUUAACGAGGGUACCAGUGGCUUUGGAGACAGCAUUAUGAAGUCUACUGUUGCGUUCCUUCCAAAUAAGAUAAACCGCUGCUUGAAAAACCAGAGAGGAAAUGUUCUUCAACUUCCGAAGCUGAAAAGGAGAUCUAACCCAAGCGACAAUACUAUCAAGAGAGUAAUGAGGGGUGAAACCAUAAUGGGAAAAAAUGGAGUUCCAAAACUCUUUGGAAAAAGGGCAAUUGAAGAAAAGGUGCUCUCUAGAUUCAGCAGCAGAACCACACAACAAACAUUCCGGAGGAACCAACAGUCCCCAACUCCGCAAUCGAUCUCGCGUUGGAAGCCUAUUGCGAAGAAUAACCCAAAGUAAGAAAGAAUGCUUAGGUAUUCUUACCUUAGGCCAAACCGACUUAAACCAAGAAACCGUCGGUGGGGAAGGGUGCAGAAACUUCCACGUUUUCGAAGUAGAAAAUAUCCCUGGAGGGCUGUCAAGAGAAUUGCGCCACAAGAAGAAGUCAGGUUCCAGGGACAGCUCACUGGGAAGAUCGGGAGGAAGGCAGGCUCUAAGCAGAGAAAGAAUAGGAUGACGCCUGCCUGAGAUGUUCCAGACACCAAAACGACAAGCUUCAACAACCGUAGACAUUAAAGGAAGACCCGUAACACGAGGUCCAUUAUCACCUGUAAGAGCAGUAAGAGGACCCAAGCUAGUCCAAUCAUCAUGCCAAAAUAAAGCCGUGGAACCGGAACGAACAUGACAUGCUAGAAAAGGUCGAGCUAUAAUGCGAAGCUUCAUGAGCCGUUUCCAAAUCCAACUGCCCGAUCUCUGAAAGUCAGUGGUCCAAAACAACCUCCCUCUAAUAAUAUUCUGCUUAGUCCACGCAACCCAUAACGAACCCGUAGAAGCAAACAAGAGCCAAAUGAGUUUCAAACCGAAAACCUGAUUAGAAUCCUGGAUAUUUCUCAAACCCAGACCGCCUGAUUCCUUAGGAGAACAGACCGAACUCCAAGCAACCUUGGCACUACGCGCAGAGUUAGGAGCUCCACUCCAAAGAAAGGCGCUGCAAAUCUUAUCAAGAGUAUCCAAGCAACUCUUGGGAAGAGGAAACACCGAAGCCCAGAAAUUGAUAAUGCUAUGUAGAACAGAUUUAACCAACUCCAAUCUUCCAGCAAAAGAUAAUUGCCUCACAGUCCAAGAGGAAAUGCGGGAGAGGAUUUUAUCAAUCAAAGGCUGAUAAUCCUGAGGCCUCAACUUGUGAGGCAUCAACGGUAAUCCGAGGUAUCUGACCGGCAAUGCACCUUGAACAAGUCCGAAACGAGAAGCAAGAGACAGAGAGAGUGCCUGAUUAUUUCCGUCAAGGAAUAGACAUGACUUGGUAAGAUUUAGGGCCAAUCCAGACGUUCUCUGAAAAGAAGAUAAAAUAUCCAGAAUUCCAACAGGAGAAGAUUCAGCCCCAUCAAAAAAUAUAAGCACAUCGUCAGCAAAGCUAAGAUGAGUAACAAGAGGGUCGCGGCACAUCGGAUGAGGAGCAAAGAGAUUUUCUCUAACAGCUUUAUCGAGAAGCUUGGAGAGAAUAUCCAUGACUAAGACGAAUAAAGAUGAGGAAAUAGGGUCACCUUGACGGAGCCCUUUCCUGCCGGGAAAGAAGCCAACAAGCUCACCGUUCACCGCGAUGGAAUAAUGAGGAGAUGAAACACAGGCUUUAAUCCAAGAGAUAAAUCGAGGAGGGAGCUGAAAGGCGAUGAGAAUAUUCGAAAUGAAGCUCCAAUCCACAUUAUCGUAAGCUUUGGAUAUGUCAAUCUGCAAACACCCUCUAGUUGUAUUUCCAUCCUUAUGGAAGUCAGAAACCAACUCAGAAGCCAAAAGAACAUUCUCACAGAGGAGCCGCCCUUUAACAAAACCAACUUGGUUCCUCUGAACUGCAAGGGGAGUAAAAAGCUUCAAGCGAUCAGCGAGAAUACGAGAUAUGACCUUGUAGACCGUGUUACAAAGCGAGAUAGGUCUGUACUCGGAUAACCGCUCAGCUCCAGUAAAUUUUGGAAUUAGAGAGAUAACUGUAGCGUUAACUUGACAGAUCAAAGAAGAAGUGAUGAAAAAGUCUUGAACUGCGCGGGUUAGAUCUCCCCCAACUAAGUCCCAAGAAGAAGUGAAAAAUUCCACCGAAAACCCAUCAGGCCCGGGAGCCUUGUUCCUUGGCAAGGAAAAAACCGCAUUCUUGAUAUCCUCCGACGAGGGCAUUCUGUCUAGCUGAGGAUACAAGUGGUCGUCACACCUGAAAGAAUGUAAGUCUUGAAUUUGAGGAACAGAGAGUGGUUGAACCUCUGGAUUAGGAGAUUCAAGCAAAGCUGAAUAAAAAUCCAGAACGUGAUUCUUAAGCAUUUGCGGAUCAGAAAUCUUGACACCAUCAGAAUUCCUUAGGUAAUGAAUGGAGUUUCGAAGGAGGUUAGCUUUAACAGACUUAUGAAACACACGAGUGUUAGCAUCUCCUUCAGAUAGCCACUUAAUUCGUGACUUUUGCCUGAAAAAAUUUUCCUCCGCCGCUGCUAGAAAGAGCCAAGAAUCCCUCAAUCGACGUUCCUCAACAAACAAGUCCUGAGUUGGAGACCGAAGAAGAUCACGCUGAACAGAUUCCAACAGCUCGAAAGCCUCUUUAGUCCUCAUCUGAAUAUUGCUAAAGCUCAAACGAUUCAACUCCUUACAGCACUGUUUAGCGGCUCUGAGCUUCUGAUAAAGACUAAACAUAUGACUCGCAGGAGUAGAGAACCCGUUCCAAGCCUCCUCCAACACUCUACCAUAAUCUGGGUGAGAGGUGAAGAAGGGGAAGAAAGUGAACCGUGAUUUUCUUCUGGAUCCUUCGUUUGAUAAUGAUACCAAACAAGGAGAAUGAUCGGAACUACCAGGAGCGUCAAACAACGCAAGAGAAUCAGGGUAAGAACCUUGCCAAGCUUCAUUAAUAACCACACGAUCAAGUUUUCGAGACUUAGGAUUAUGAGGACAUUUAUUACUCCAGGUAAAGAAGCAGCCCCGCAUAGCCAUAUCAAAGAGAGAACUAGAUGAUAAACACUCCUGGAACUCUGCAAUACCUUGAACCGGCAAGACACUAGGAGAUAGAGAAUAUGCUUCCGCCAUAGAUAAGACUUGGUUAAAGUCACCUAAUAAGAGCCACGGAGAAUGGUUUAGCAGAGGAGAAGACGCUAAUUCCUUGAUCAAAAUCCAUAGAGGGAUGCGAUCCUCUCUUCUGUUAGGAGCAUAGAUAAAAGCCACAGAGAAAGACUGGUUGGAGGCAGGAUUUAGAACACCACAGAGCAUAAGAUUAGGGGAUUUCAGAAAAGUAAUAACAGAGAGAAGGGGAUUCCAUAGAACAACAAUACGCCCGUUCUCUGCAUCCUCAGAAUGAUUAGAGUCAAAACGCCACCCUGGGAAGUGCCUGGUCAUCAAAUCAUCAAUGUUUGCUUGUUUCACGCGAGUUUCCAAAAAACCACCGAUCAUAGGUUGGUUAGCGAUGAGCCACCGCUUUACAGCUAAAAGUCUUGAAUUGCCAUUAAGGCCUCUUACGUUCCAACAAAAACACUUCAUAUAGAAGUCAAAAAAGGGGGAGUGCAUCACACUCAGAGGGCCAAAAUGUGAGCAGAUCGCUUGCGCGAGUGCCCACUUAAAGAAGGACCAGGAACAGACGAAGCUGAUCUGGAAGAAGCCAAAGAAACCGGACGAUCGAUAUUAGAACCAGGGGAAGAGGAGGAGAGCAGCAGAGACUUCUGACGAAGGUUUUUCCUUGCUUUCCUUCUAGCAGCAGCUGUAAUCAACGGAGGGGCAACCACUUCCAGAUUAGCAAUUCUCUUCCGGAUAAUAGCUUGGGCUGAUUGAAUGAGCUCCUCUUCCGCAGCGAACUGAGAGUUGGUAACCGAAGCAGCAGGAGGACGCUCUUCAGUAUUAGCCGAGGAGAGACGAGGAACUGAGGAGCGACGAACCACCUUAGUCCAUACCCCAGAGAUAUUAGCAUCAGAGCCGCUAUGAUUUUCAAAAGAAGCGGGGACAGCCCGAGGAGAAGAUGGUAAACUCUUGGAAAUUCGAAUCUUAUGAGGAGACGAAGGACGACUAGCAAAGGAACCCUGACAAACUUGCACAUCAGCGACUGAAGAGGAAGACCCUUCAGGGGAGGUAGCCGGAGAAAAAUCAUUUGAAGGAGAUUGAUUUGAGUUAUUCGGGCAAACGGCAGCUUUAACAACAGGAACUGGGCAUCGCAUCUGGAAGUGACCAAAUUCACCACAAGCAGCACAUUUGGGAGGGAGUUGAAGGAAUUCCACUGAGACAAGAACAGUAUUCUGCAUCUUAUCAGAAACACGCACAAACGGAGGAGGAGUUUUAGCAAGUUCAACCACGAUCUUAAGCUUAACAACUCCAUUUGAAUAUGGUCGAAUAUUCGGAAACUCUGAAUGAACUGGGAAGCCAACUCCAGAAGCGAUGGUGCUAAAACCUUGAGAAGACCAUAAUUCCUGAGGAACAUUGCGAAAGAGAACCCACACCGGAGCAAAAUCCAGCUUCGAAGAGCCCAAAGUAGCAGAGGAAGACCAUUCGGACAACGAAAAAGAACAGUUACGGGAGUGCCAAAAGCCGAUAUCGAGAGCCCAUUUCCGCGUGGCCUCACACGGAAUGAGAAUGAGAAAAAUACCAGGGGAGUGAUACUUAAUAGAGAUUCUGCCCUGUUUACCCCAGAUUGGGUUCAGAUCCGAGAAGAUCUUAGCAAUGGAGGGAGGAGAACCAUGAAAUUGAGCAACAAGAUGAUUUUUCCAAAGCUGAGAUGAUUUAAGAAUAACUGAAUCUGGAGCUUUCAUCUGGGGAAUUCCAUCUUCAGAAACAACUGGAGAGCCGACCUUAGAGAGAGUCAAAAAAGUCGAUUUGAAUUUGGAAGCCCAAGAAGGAAGAGAGUCCUUUGACGAAGCAAGAGGUGGAAUAUUGGGAGAUGAGAGCCUUGGAGAAAGAGGGGCAGAGCAAGAAGGAAGAACCGACAGAUCCGCCGCCGGAGCCGAAGGACGAUCCAAGGGAAGGGGAUCAGGGGAAAGAGGACCGGAAGAGCCAACGGGAGAGGAGGAAGGUGGAUCCGGCCAAGGAAGGAGGAAAAGCAGGUCUUGAGGCACCGAUGCGACCGGAUCUGGAGGUUUAGAAGCCAUACAGAGAGAAGAUAAGGGAGGAGAGGUUUCUCGGCGGUUAGCGUGAGACGUAACCGACGGCGGCGUUAGGAACGAACCCUAAUCACCUAAGCGCCGGAGAAGGCGAGAGCUUUUUUAGUGUAUUAUCAAUUUUUUUUUUGUUUGUUUCAGACGAAAUCAAUCAGCAAGACCGUUGGGGUUAGAAAUUCAUUCAUUGAAUAAUUUCGUUGUAUUAACUUUUAAGCGUAGCCAGUAUGGAGGUAAUUUCAAAACAAAUUCUUGUCUAGCAACCUGUUUUUACUUUAAUUUGCCUCCAUACUUACCUUAUCUUGAAUUUGUACAGUUACGAGUGUUUUCUACAAAGACCUUGACUUGUCUUUACCAUACUAUUCAAAGUAAACGAUAGCGAUCACUCACUUAACGCAUGUCACAUGACUUUUAGGUGUGUUUUUUUCAUUAACAGAGACUUGGACUUUUUCUAAAUAUACAGAAUCAUUUCUUGUUGAAUUUGCAUUGAACUUCACAAUCCCACGUUCGUUUUUGGAGUUUGCUUUUCUAUUAUUGUGUUAUUUGUAAUGGAGCGGAAGUUUUUCUUGGGCCAAUAUUUGAUAUGUGUGAUAUUACUGUUGGGGCAGCUACAUGGAUACAAAAGCUGUAUUCAGAAAGAAAAGUUGGCUUUGUUGGAGCUCAAGAAAUACAUAAUCUCACAAAGUAGGCUACCCGAUUUCGUUCUCCCUACUUGGACUAAUGACAGAAGGAGCGAUUGUUGCCGAUGGGAGGGCCUUAAGUGCAACCGCACAAGCGGACGGGUGACUGAGAUUGUGCUUAGUGAUUUGUUCCUCAAAGAGAGCUCUCUCUUCAAUCUUUCUUUGCUGCAUCCCUUUGAAGAGGUUCGAAGUCUGAACUUUUCAACGCUAGUGGGAGGAAGUUGCUUCUUCGAUGAUGUUGAAGGUAUUUACCAGGUUUUCCUUUGCAUUGGAAGUUCUUAUGUUUCCUGUGUUUAGGGUUCUACUUCUUUAACGAACCUUUAUGGACUAAAUCAUACUUGAUUGUUUCAAAUUUUCAUGCAAGUCACUUGCUCAUGUCUGUGUGCACCAUGUUGCGUGUUGCAAUCACAUCAGACGGUGACUUGCAUCCCUUCACAUGAAAGUCAUAAUAAUUGAUUGAGAUAUGUUAUCAGUAUUUAUAUGCUUAGCAAGAUUCUCAUUUGCAGGGUAUAAAAGCCUAGGGAAGUUAAGUAGCCUCAAGAUUCUGGAUCUCUCAAGAAAUAAAUUCAACAACAGCAUAUUUCCCUUUCUUAAUGCCGCUACAUCACUUACAACUCUUUUUCUUCGGGAAAACAACUUGGAUGGCCCUUUUCCUGCUAAAGGUAUGUUUUUUUUUUUUCCAUUUGUAAUUGUGUGGAAACACAGGAUGGCCUCAUUAUUGAUGAUGUCUUUGUACGUUAGUUCGAUCCAAUAAUUAUAAUUAUUGUUAUAACUUCAAGUCCUAUAUUUGUUGGAUUUGCUUUCAGAACUUAAAGAUUUGACAAACUUGGAACUGUUGGACCUGAGUAGUAACAGAUUUAAUGGCUCCAUACCAGUACAAGGUAGCUCAGAAAUUUUUAGCUGAUUCAAUGGCUGCAUAACCCUUUGUUUUUAAUUGGCUCGUGCAAUCUUUGAAACCAUGAUGUUCGUAGGUAAAGGUGCUUAUCUUUGUGUUGGCUUUGUCUUGUGGCAGAGUUAUCUUCCCUGAGGAAGCUGAAAGCUCUGGAUCUAAGUGGUAAUGAGUUUUCUGCAUCAAUGGGAUUGCAAGGCAAGUCAAAACAUAUCUUUAGCUACUCCGUUAAAACUGGUGGUGAAUUAACGUUUAUUCAUGUGUAUAAAUUUUUUGCAUUUGAUUAUCGUAGGGAUUUGCGAAAUGAAGAAUAUGCUAGAUCUUGAUCUCAGUCGAAACAAACUAGUAGGUCAGUUUCCCUUAUGCUUAACUAGCUUGAGUGGACUUAGAGUUCUUGAUCUCUCAUCAAACCAAUUGACUGGGAAUGUGCCACCUGCUCUCGGUAACCUUGAAUCCCUCAAGUACUUAUCGUUGAUUGAUAACAACUUCGAAGGCAUCUUCUCACUUGGUUCGCUUGCCAACCUCUCAGAGCUUGGGGUUUUCAAACUUGGUUCAAAAUCCAAAUCACUUCAAGUAGAGUCUGAAAGUUCUUGGAAGCCAAAAUUUCAUUUGAGUGUUAUUGAACUACCAUCUUGCAACUUGGUAAAGGUUCCUCAUUUUCUCGUAUACCAGAAGGAUUUGCGUCGCAUUGAUCUCUCCCACAAUAAUGUUUCUGGAAAUUUUCCUUCUUGGCUAUUGGCAAACAAUACGCAACUCAAAGUUUUGUUUCUACAAAAUAAUUCGUUUACGAGCUUUCAGCUACCGAAAUCUGCUCAUAAGCUACUUAUCCUAGAUGUGUCAGCUAAUGAAUUCAGUCAUCUGCUUCCUGAGAACAUUGGGUGGAUACUUCCUCAUUUACGGUAUAUGAAUAUCUCCAAGAACGGGUUCCAAGGAAAUAUGCCAUCUUCUUUGGGUAAUAUGGAGAGGAUUCAAUAUCUGGAUAUAUCUCACAACAACUUCCAAGGGAAGCUACCAAGAAGUUUUGUAAUGGGUUGUUAUUCCAUGGUAUCUUUGACGCUGUCACAUAACAACCUAAGUGGAGAGAUUUUCCCGGAAUCAGUCAACUUUACUGAUAUAUCGGAGCUGUCUAUGGAUAACAAUCAGUUUACAGGAAAGAUUGGAAAAGGUUUGCGUAGCUUGAGAUACUUGGAAUUGCUUGACAUUUCGAACAACAAUCUCACGGGUGUUAUUCCAAGCUGGAUUGGCGAGCUUAAAUCCUUAGUUGUAGUACUUGUUUCAAACAACUCGUUGGAAGGUGAGAUACCUGUUUCGUUGUUCAACAGAAGAUUUCUUCAGCUACUGGAUCUCUCUGCAAACAAUUUAUCUGGGGGCAUACCUCCACACGUCAAUUCUAGGUAUCCCGUAGCGUUAUUCCUGCAAGACAAUAAGUUAUCAGGGGUCGUUCCAGACACAUUGCUAACGAAUGUCACUGUACUUGAUCUGAGAAAUAACAGAUUGUCUGGGAAUAUUCCCGAGUUCACCAACAACCGAAACACCCAUACUCUUCUUCUCCCAGGGAAUAAUCUAACAGGCAGCAUUCCCCACCAGUUGUGUGGCCUAAGAAACAUCCAACUUCUUGAUCUUUCAAACAACAGAUUGAAUGGAUCCAUACCUUCAUGUCUCAGCAAUACAUCAUUUCUUCUUGGGAAAGAAGAGGAUAUAAUUUAUGAUUAUGAUUACGGCCGUAUUAACCAGCUUGAUCUUGCGGGUGGUUUCCAAGAUCCGUUCAAAUUUCUUAUUGUGCUAGAUCCGUUUAGUAUGGUAUACGGGCCAAUCAUCCAGCUUAAGAUAGAGUUUGCAACUAAACACCGAUACGAUGCCUACGUGGGUGGAGUUCUCGUAUUAUUGUUUGGAAUGGAUCUCUCAGAAAAUGAGCUGAGUGGUGAUAUCCCUGUAGAGCUUGGAGGUCUUCUGGAGAUACAAGCUCUCAAUCUUUCUCACAACAACUUAUCAGGCGUGAUACCAGAUAGCUUUUCAGGUCUGAAGAAUGUGGAAAGUCUUGAUCUUUCCUUCAACAAAUUACAAGGCCGGAUUCCACCAAGACUAGCAGAUCUGAGCAGCCUAGGUGUGUUCAAUGUUUCAUACAACAACUUAUCAGGAGCCAUUCCCCUGGGAAGACAUUUUAGCACCUUUGAUACACAAAGCUUCCUCGGUAAUCCUCUUCUCUGUGGGCAACCAACCGACAUAAGCUGCAACGGUAACACCAUUCAAGCACCAGAUAAUGUAGCCAGAGAUGAAGAAAGCACAAUCGACAUGGUUUCUUUCUACUGGAGUUUUGCUGCAGCCUAUGUUACAGUACUUCUUGGAGUACUUGCAUCUCUCUCUUUUGAUUCUCCAUGGAGCAGAUUUUGGUUCUACACGGUUGAUGCUUUCAUCCACAAGGCGAGGAAUUUGUUGUGGUAAACCAUUAUUGGUGACAAAUUCUUAUAUUGUCCCCAUCUGUUUCUAUUCUUCACAAGACCUCCUGCUUUGUGUAGCCAACCAGAACAUUACUUGUGUUUGGUUCCUAUGUACUGUCUUUGUCAUUGUCUAUGAAUAAAUGUAUUGUCUCAAACAUUUCUUUGUUCCUGAGUAGCUUAUUGGUUGGUUUACUAAAAAAUCCUCAGAAAUCAGGAACUUGCAGGGAACAAUUUUAAGGUAGAAAAGAGUGCAGACCCAAGAAUGAAAUAAAUACAGAGAAUUUUCCAUUAUACCGCUUUACUGAUUUUCUUCAGGUAACCGUCUCAAGAACUUCAGAUAUUACAAUAACAUACCAUAUGGAUACUAAUUCAUUAUCCUGUUGUAGAAUACAAAUGAGUCAAAUGAGCAUAUGAAUCAGCAGAGAAAUAGAAAGACCAGAGAGAAACAUAGAACAUAGCUAAAAGAGUUAGAGAAAGAGGAUGUGAAACGAUAGCGUUUUGCGUUAUUCCCUUGUUUCUGACGUCGCCAACUGAGAAAGCCACGUCAGCAACUCAUUUGGCAGAGAAUUUCAUGGUUAGAUUUUUUAUUUUUAUUUUACCAGAAUCUCAUUCAUUCUUAUGCAGAAAAUUAAUUAUCAGCUGAAUUACUCAACAAGCUUUACGUUGCUAAAAGAUUAACAUACCUGAUACAAGGAAUAUAUAUACGUAACUAAGACUAAGUAAAAGAUUCGAGGGGGCAAUUCAGGGCUAUUACAAAGAGUAUAGUUUUGUUCUUCCAGAAUCCCAAAGAUUUGGGGAUUAACCCUGCCUAACAUUCAUCUCUCUCGCUUGACCGGAUUUUUUGAAAAUAUUAAAUCAUUGUCACUCUUUUUAACUUUUGUUCCCCUUCACAUUGUACUUGAAAUACAGCAAUUGGCUAUUGCACACUGUAAAUAGUACUCUUGAGGAUGAGGAAAUUGUAGUUGGCUAAUGUAUACAAUUUUUAUUUGUUAGUUGUGAUAAAGCUUCGUAAGAGUUGAUAAUGCGAAGCACGCCACAGGCACAAGUAUGUUAUAUGAUAUGAAUGCUUCUCCACAGAAGAUAUUGUAUUUUCUUAUGCACCAUAAUUGGUGUUUUCCAAUUCCUCUAUGUUUAAUACUUGUAAACAUAAAUUCUUUGUUUUUCCUUUUUAAUCUCUGAUUAUAAUUCUCUUGGCUCAAACCAAUAGAAGGGAAGCUAUUCUUGUCUGAAAACUUGAUAUGGGCGAUGAUACUAUAUAUCACAAAUAACAUCAAAAACUCAUUCUUCACAUUUUAUUCCUAAGUUCACACAGUUCAACAUUUACACGUAAAAAAUAUGAUAACUGAAGUGAUCAGUGUAGGCUAUGUUAUUUUGUAUACAUUGUUUAAUAAUUUUUUUUUUCUUUUUUGCAGGUUAUAAAAGCCUGAAGAGAUUAAGGAACCUGAAGAUUAUGGAUUUUUCUUCAAGUGAAUGCAACAACAGCAUCUUUCCCCUUAUCAUCCUUAGCUUUAUUGCUUAGUACCCAGCAAAUUUUCUGUGACGUAAUGCAUUGGUCGAAGUAACAGAUGCUGACCGCACAAUUUCUACGGAGACUUUGACUUUAUAUGCCAAACGAAUCUCUAAGCUUAUCAUAACGACUGAAAGUAAACGCUAAACGACAGUGAUCACUCACGCUCCAACUGGGACCUGAAUUGACUUUGUAAGUGUGCAAUUAUUUCCUCGAAUUUGGUGUAUUCCUUUGGAAAAAUUUGAAGAAAUCUUGUAAAUUGUGGAGGUACUUGCAUUGAGCGGACAAGUCACUUUGGAUUAUCUUUCAUUUGCUUUUAUUUUUCGGUUUGAUUUGCAAUGGAAGGGAAGGUGUUCUUGAGAAAAUACUUGAUAUGUGUGAUGUUAUUGUUGGGGCAGCUAUAUGGAUACAAAAGCUGUGUUGAGAAAGAAAGGAAUGCUUUGUUGGAGCUCAAGAAAUACAUAAUGUCAAUUAGUAAAGAGGAGGAGCCCGACUAUGUUCUACCUACUUGGACUUAUGACACAAAGAGUGAUUGCUGCGAGUGGGAUGGCGUUACGUGCAACCAAACAAGCCAACAUGUGACCGAGAUUGCCUUUGGUACACUGAACCUCAAACAGAGUUCUCCUCUUAAUCUUUCUUUGUUGCAUCCCUUUGAAGAAGUCCGAAGUCUGAACUUAUCCAAGUCCAGAUUCAGUUAUUUAUACCCGAUCGAAGAGAGAGGAUUCCAGGGAGAGACAAACAACCUUUUCGAUGACUUAUUUGACGAUGUGGAAGGUAUACCAGGCUUUCUCUAGUGGUUAGGUUUUAACAUUUGGUUUGUUAUUGGAGCUUUUGAUCUGUUCCUUGCAUUAGGGGUCUACUUCUCUAAAUAACCUAAUGCAUUUAUUUCGUGAUAUGUCUGUGUCCCAUGUUGCAUUCUCGUCACACGUUCACUUACUUUCCCUUUCCCCGUGCAUAGAGUUCAUCUGGAUGCAUACUAAGCGAUUGGAUUAAGAUAUGCUAAUCAUUAAUUAUAUGCUUAACCAGAUUCUUCUGUGGGUUUAUCCAAAAUAAAAGCUUCGUUUUUCAGGUUAUAAAAGCUUAGGGAGAUUAAGAAACCUGGAGAUUCUGGAUCUCUCUUCAAAUAAAUUCAACAACAGCAUCUUUCCCUUUCUUAAUGCCGCUACAUCACUUACAACUCUUUUUCUUCGCGAUAACUACUUGGAUGGCCCUUUUCCUGCUAAAGGUAUAAUUUUGUUUGAUCGAUUCAGUUUAUAAUGCUAUAAUUCUAUAUGUCUUAAAUUCAAGUUGUAUAAUAUUCAAUUAUAUUUGUUGGCCUCCAUUUCAGAACUUGGAGAUUUGAUAAACCUGGAACUGCUGGACCUGAGUAUUAACAGGUUCAAUGGCACCAUACCAGUACAAGGUAGUUGUCCGUAAAUGUUUUUUUUUUUUUUGUUCCUAAGGUGAUAGGUCAAUCAAUUCAAUGGCUACGUACAACAUUGUUGGAUAAUUAGUCCCUUGAGGUGAACAUGUUCGUAUAUUUAAAACUGUUUACCUUUGUAUGGCAGAGCUAUCUGCCCUGAUGAAACUGAAAGCUCUGGAUCUAAGUGAUAAUGAAUUUUCUGGCUCAAUCGAAUUGCAAGGCAAGUUUACUCAAGUAUCUCACGUUUUUGAUUAAAAAGAAGCUGUGGGUUGAAUUCACGCUCAAGUAAAUGACUUAAAGCUUCUGCGUUUGAUUAACGUGUAGGGAUCUGCAAAUUGAAGAAUAUGCAAGAGCUUGAUUUAAGUCGAAACAAACUUGUAGGCCAGUUUCCCAUAUGUUUAACUGGAUUGACUGAACUUCGAGUUCUUGAUUUGUCAUCAAACCAAUUGGAUGGGAAUGUGCCAUCUGCUCUUGGUAACCUUGAAUCGCUUGAGUACUUAUCGUUGUUUGAUAACAACUUCGAAGGAAUCUUCUCACUUGGUUCGCUCUCCAACCUCUCAGAGCUUAGAGUGUUAAAACUUGGUUCAAAGUCCAACUCACUUCAAGUGGAGUCUGAAGAUUCUUGGAAGCCAAGAUUUCGGUUAAAUGCUAUUGUACUAGGAUCUUGCAACUUGGACAAGGUUCCUCAUUUUCUCCUACAACAGAACGGUUUGCGUCAUGUUGAUCUCUCCGACAAUAAAAUAUCUGGGAAUUUUCCUUCCUGGCUGUUGGUGAACAAUACAGAACUCCAGGUUCUGCGUCUACAGAAUAAUCAUCUCAAGAGCUUUCAGUUACCAAAAUCCACUCAUGGUCUGGCUUUACUGGACGUGUCUGUUAAUGAUUUCAAUCAUCUGUUUCCUGAGAACAUUGGGCGGAUACUUCCUCAGUUAGUGUUUAUGAAUAUAUCAAGUAACGGUUUUCAAGGAAAUCUGCCAUCUUCUCUGGAUAACAUGAUGAGUGAGAUUACAAAUCUGGAUCUAUCUCACAACAGCUUCCAUGGGAAGAUACCAAGAGGUUUCUUGAAGGGUUGUUAUUCCAUGAAUAUUUUGAAGUUGUCACAUAACAGACUAAGUGGAGAGGUUUUUCCAGAAGAAGUUGAUUUUUUUGGUAUAUUGGAGCUGUAUAUGGAUAACAAUCAGUUUACAGGAAAUAUUGGAAAAGGUUUACGGAGCUUGACAUCUUUGAGUAUGCUUGAUAUUUCGAACAACAAUCUCACUGGUGUUAUUCCAAGUUGGAUCAGCGAACUUUCAUCCUUAAAUGCACUGCUGCUUUCAAACAACUCGUUGGAAGGUGAAAUACCUAUUUCCUUGUUAAACAUGACCAAUCUUAAUCUACUUGACCUCUCUGCAAACAUUUUGUCUGGGGAGAUACCUCCACACGUCAAAUCCUCAAGCCCGUUAGUAUUACUCCUGCAAGACAAUAAGUUAUCAGGGGUCAUUCCAGACACAUUGCUAACGAAUGUCACUGUACUUGAUCUGAGAAACAACAGAUUGUCUGGGAAUAUUCCCGAGUUCAUCAACACCCAAAGCAUUGGUAUUCUUCUUCUCCGAGGUAAUAAUCUUACAGGCCGUAUUCCUCGCCAGUUUUGUGGCCUAAGCAACAUCCACCUCCUGGAUCUUUCCAACAACAGAUUGAAUGGAUCCAUACCUUCAUGUCUUAGCAAUACAUCAUUUGGUUUGUGGAAAGAGGACGCAUUUUACUUUUUUGAUUUCUCUUUCGGUGACAAUCCUAUUAGUUUCGAGGUUGGUUAUGCUCUGGAACAGGAUUCCACUUCCACAAAAGGUGUUGGUAGAUAUUUCAAGUCUCUGCUUAUGCUUGAUCCGUUCAAUAUGGAUUACAAGGCAAUCACACAGACGAAAAUUUAUUUUGCAACAAAACACCGAUACGAUGCCUACAUGGGUGGAAAUCUUCAACUGUUCUUUGGAAUGGAUCUUUCACAAAACGAGCUGAGCGGUGAGAUCCCAUUUGCGCUUGGAGAUCUUCUGAAACUACAUGCACUCAAUCUUUCUCACAACAACUUAUCAGGCGUGAUACCAGACAGCUUUUCAAGUCUGAAGAAUGUGGAAAGUCUUGAUCUUUCCUUCAACAAAUUACAAGGUCGGAUCCCAUCAAAACUAGCAGGACUGAGCAGCCUAGCUGUCUUCAAUGUCUCGUUCAACAACUUAUCAGGAGUCAUUCCACAUGGAAAACAGUUUAACACUUUUGAUACGGAAAGCUAUUUAGGUAAUCUUCUUCUAUGUGGACAACCAACAAACAAAAGCUGCAAUGGUAAUACAAUUGACGCACCGGAUAAUGUAGAGGAAGACGAAGAAAGCACAAUCGACAUGGUUUCUUUCUACUGGAGUUUUGCUGCAGCCUAUGUGACCAUACUUCUUGGAACAUUCGCGUCUCUCUCUUUUGAUUCUUCUUGGAGCAGAUUUUGGUUCUAUAUCGUUGAUGAUUUCAUCCACAAGGUGAGGAAUCUGUUGUGGUAAACAAUUUCUUAUAUUGUUGUCCCCUUCUGUCUCUGUUCUUCUGAAAACCUCUUAAUAACAUGUUUGGUUCCUCUGUAUUGUCUUUGAAUAAAUGUAAUGCCUCAAACAAUCCUAGAGCUCGUUUUUUUUUUACAUCUAUCUUUAUUUCCUAGUUCUCGUUAUGUGGUUGGUUCAAUAAAUAAUAUCAUAAUUAUGAAAUACAAGAACUUGCAUGGAAAAAAAAAAACUCAAAAGUAGGAAAAAAAAAAGAAUACAGAGAGUUUUCCGUUUAUAGUAAGAAGUUCUCUUGCUUCUUUUAAGAGUCUCCGCAUGUACGAUCUCAUUCACCAGAUCCUUGAAGAUAAGCCUCUCCACAUCCAGCACCAAUCCUGAGAUUUCUCCACUGAAGUCCACCCAGUUCCCAGACCGAACCAUCACAUCUUCUGCAAGUAUACUUUUCAAGAAGUCGUCUUCUUCCUCCAACAAGAAGUUUUCUGAUCUCUUUGUGGCUUGCUUUUGCAGUGUUUCUAUCUCUGAACACAGUUCUUUCAGUAGCUGUUGCGCACUCAUGGCUUUCUUAGUCAUCUUAGUUGAUGACUUCAUCAAUGGAUUCAUCGUGGCUUCAACCGAAGCUAGUUUCUCCACAAGAAUUUCAUUAACGGUGUCAAACACAAGUUUGCGGUUGAGCUUCUCCUUGUUCAAAACCGAUGCGUAGUGCUGCUUCCCUAUGUCUUCAAUGGUUUUCAACUUUUCUGUGGGCAACCAACAAGCAGAAGCUGCAAUACCUUUCAAGAACCAGAUGAUGAAGUGGAAGGUGAUGAAUCCGCAAUCGACAUGGAAUCUUUCUACUGGAGUUUCGCUGCAGCGUAUGUGACAAUACUUGUUGGAAUACUCGCAUUGCUCUCAUUUGAUUCUCUUUGGAGAAGAUUGUGGUUCUACAUCGUUGAUGCUUUCAUCUACAAGGUGAGGAAUCACUUGUGGUAAAACCAGUAUUGGUGACAAAUUCUUCAUAAAUGUAAUGCUUCCACAUCAAAUCACCCAACUUUUUCAUUUGGAGAAAAGAAAAGAGUAUGUAUUUAUUAUACUUUUAUCAAGCAAAACCCCUCUUCGCCAUUGGAUCUCUCUUCGUUUCGUCUCGCUCUCAUUCUCAUCUCAACACAACACACUUUACAAAAGAGAAAAAAAAACCUUUAAGUCACAGAAAACGGUGAUAUCCGCCGUUUCACAAUGGCCAUCGCGUCGCGACUGCCGUUAUCUUCAUAUCCGCCGCCGUUUUUAGCGCGUCUUCGUCUCACCUCCUUCUUACUUCACGGUGGCGAUCGCUGGACGGAUACUUCAACAAUCGCCAUUGGAAAAUCUACGGUUUUCGCUGAGACAACUGAAUUAUGUGAAACGACAGCGUUUUCGUUAUUCCCUUGUUUCUGACGUCUCCGACUCAGAAACCCACGUCAGCAACUCAUUUGGCAGAAUUUCAAUUCAUGGUUAGAUAUAUUUUUAUUUUUUUUCCCAGAAUUUCGUUCGUUCAUUCUCAGAAAUUUAAUUAUCAGCUGAAUUACUCAACGAGCUUUACGUUGCUAAAAAGAUUAACGUACAAGGAAUAUUUACGUAACUAAGGCUAAGUAAUAGUUUAAUCCGUCUUCUUCUCUUUAGUUUAAUUCUAUUCUCCAAAAUAUAGUUUUGUUUGUCAAGAAUCCCAAAGGUUGGAGGAUUGACCCUGCCUAAUAUGCAUCUCUCUCGCUUGAGCUUAAAAAUUUGACAAACUUGGAACUGUUGGACCUGAGUAAAACGAAUUUAAUGGCUCCAUACCAGUACAGAGUAGUGUCAACGUUAUUGUGACUGUCUAUAGAUGCUUACCAUAGAUGCAGUCUUUAUGGUAUCUUUCCACAAGAGGUUCGCUAUAGCUUAUGUGACCAUAUUUCUGGGAAUACUCAGCUUCACUCCCUUUUGAUUCACCUUGGAGCAGAGCUUGGUUUAGUGUUGUUGAGGCUUUUAUCCAUAAGAUGAAAACUUUCUUAUCCCAAAUUACAGUGGUUAAGAGUGUAAGCUGGUCUCUUGAAAGUAUAUAAUCAUUUAUUGUGACAAUUCCGUUCUGAUAUACUUGUAAUUUGUUCUUCAGCUCGGCGAUCAGUACUCCCUGAUUCUUAAUCGCUUUUUUUGUUUUAAUUCUAUUACAGAAUAUCUAAUAUUGGUCAUUAACUAAUAAAUUAUAUACAGUAUAUAGUUUGGCUACCUACUUUAUUAACCCUUGAAUUAUUACGUGGUAUAUAAGCUUGAGGGAAAAAAAAUGCUUUGAAACUUGGCUUUAAACAAGCUACCAAUUUGUGAAAAAAAAGCCCGUUUACUAUGUAAAAAAACUUACCAACCCUGUCUCGUAGAACCUAUGCAACUCCUCCUUACUUCUUCUGUUUGGAGAAGGAGAAUCCGAUGUUGCAUUUUAACCAGUCCAGUGGCUUUGCUUCCCUCGUUUAAUUUGGGCGUUUUGGGUUAUUGUAACUUGUAAGUUUCUAUAACCUUCGAUAAAUAUCUAGAUGACCAAAAAAAAAAAAGCUUGAGGGAAAAAUAUAUAUAUUCCAAUAUUUUCCAUAUUAUCAUCCUUUAAUUCUAUUGCUAAGCAAUUUUCUGUGACUUAAAAAGCAUUUUGGUCGAAGUAAAAGAUGCUGACCGCACAAUUUCUACGGAGACCUUGACAUUAUAUGCCAGACGAUUCUAAGUAAACGCUAGACCACAAUGGUCACUCAUGCCCCGACGACUGGGACCUGAAUUGACUUUGUAAAUGUACAAUUAUUUCCUCGAAUUUAGUGUAUUCCUCUGGAAAUUUGAAGAAUUCUUGUAAAUUUUGGAGGUACUUGCAUUGAGCGGACAAGUCACCUUGGAUUAUCUUUCAUUUGCGUUUUUUUUUUCGGUUUAUUUGCAAUGGAAGGGAAGGUGUUCUUGGGAAAAUACUUGAUAUGUGUGAUGUUACUGUUGGGGCAGCUACAUGGAUACCAAAGCUGUGUUGAGAAAGAAAGGAAUGCUUUGCUGGAGCUCAAGAAUUACUUUGUCUCAAUUACUCGAGAAGUUUUCGUAGACGAUGUUCUCCCUACUUGGACUAAUGACACAAAGAGCAAUUGCUGCGGCUGGGAUGGCCUUAGGUGCAAUCUUACAAGCGGACGGGUGACCGAGAUUGCCCUUUCUGGCACCUAUCCCUUUCUGACAAUCUUAAAAGAGAAUUCUCUCCUUAAUCUUUCGUUGCUACAUCCUUUUGAAGAUGUUCGAAGUCUGAACUUCUCCGGGCACCUUCUCAGUGGCUUGUUUGAUGACGUUGAAGGUAUACCAGGCUUUCCCUAGUAGUUAGCUUUUAAUAUUCUGUUUUUCAUUGGAACUUUCAUGUUUUCUCUCCUUUAGGGAUCUACUUCUCUGAAGAACCUAUAUGGACUAGAUCUUUGUUCAUUGUUUCUAGUUCUUGAAAGUUAUUGUUUCUCGUUGCAGGUUGUAAAAGCUUGAGGAGAUUAAGAAACCUGGAGAUUCUGGAUCUCUCUUAUAAUGAAUUCAACAACAGUAUCUUUCCCUUUCUUAACGCUGCAACAUCACUCACAACUCUUUUUCUUAGGGACAACUUCAUGGUUGACCCUUUUCCUGUUAAAGGUAUGUUUUCCCAUUUGUAUAUAUAGCAUGUCCUAAUUCUUUUAGGGAUGAUAUAUUAUUCUUCUACUAGGGAUUAACCCGCGCUAUAUAUUUUUUAUCAUUAAUUAAUUUAAAUAAUUUUAUGAAACAGUUAUUUUGUAAAAACAGUUAUUGUUAUAAAGUUUACAAUAAUAUAGUGCAUAUUUUUAUGAAUUUUAAAUAAUGAAUUGAUCUGUAUAUAUAUAUAUAUAUAUAUAUAUUUGAAUUAUAAAAAAUAAGUUAAUCCGUAUAUGAAAUUAUUUUAUAAGCGUGUAAAACAAAAUAAGUUGUUUUAAUUUCGUUGGUACUAAACUAAAAUAUUAAUUAGGCUAAUAUAUAAAAAUUAUAAUAUUAUAAUCAUCAACUCUAAUUUGCAUCGUUUAAUAAUUGACAUUUAUAAUCUGUUCACAAACUAUAAAAAUUUAAUUUUAUCUUUUUAACUAUAUAUGAAAAUAAUAUAAUAUUCUUUACACUUAGGUUUGAUAUACAAUAAAUAAAUAUAUAACAAAUUAUAUUUAAUUUUAAAAAUAAAUAUAAUUUAGUAGAUUGAAUAUAUUACCUAUUUUAAAAAAUUAAUAUUUUGAAUUUUGAGAUUUUUUGUGGGUAUUAAAAAAUUAAAAUUAUAAUCUAUUCAUAUCGAACUAACCAUUUACUUAACAUGUUUGUAUUGGAUAAAAAUUUAAUAAUUAAUUAUAAUAUUCACCGUUCAAUAACUCUUAUUUUACCACAAACUUUUUUUAUUUAAAAAUCAAUUUUUUUAUAUCAAAAUUUUAGUAAAAUAACUAAAAAUGUAUUUUUGUAUAUAAUCAAUCAAAUGUAGCAAAUUAUUGAAAAAAAAUACUUCACCACUUUUUUAAUAUCAUAACUUUUAAUUUUGACUUUUAUAAUAUUUCUAAUUCAAAAAUUGAUUUUCACGUUUUUUAAUUAAAAUAUACUUUAUAAUAUCAUUUGAAAAUAAAAAUAAUAAAAAUACUAUCAUAUUUUUAAAUUUAGAAAUUAAAUAAUAAAUAUACUCUAUUAAAUGAGAAAUAAAAAUUUUCCAUAUUUUUAGCAAUAGAGUUGAAAGACAACUAUAUCAUUUUCUAUUUUAAUUAUUCUUUGUUAUUUUUAAUAGCAUUAAUAUUUUACAAAAUAAAGAUUAUAUUUUAAGAGUUUCAGAUUUAACUCAUAUUUCAAAGUCAAACACAAAACUAACCUCUUUUUUUUCUCUCUCCAACUUUUGUUAUUUUCUCACAAUUUUAUCCUUCUCACUUAAACUAUUAUCGAAAAUGCCAUUAUACAUCUAAUAAAUCGAUUUUUCUUUAAUUGGCUAAAGUCUUCUUGGACCUUCUAAAAACUUUUUAAUUACGAGACUGCCAUCGUCUUUAGUAUCUUCAACCACCAUGAACAACCAUGAAAAUGGAAUAAAUGCUUAUCAACCUGUUUUAAAGCUGUAAUAAAACAAAUAUCUAAGCUCAUUCACUCAUAAUCUUGCUCAUUCUAUCAUAAUUUCUUCUCCAAAACAUCUGGGCAUAGUUGCAAUGCUUCGCGCCAUCCUUUUGCGGUGAAUUCUGGUUUACUCGACACCUGGGUUGUUUAAUUUCAGUGAAAUCCUAAGUUCUGGGUAGAUAAGAGAAACUUAGGGGAGCUCAAUUUUGUCAAAGGUAAUUCUCGCACUUCAAUUUCUCCACAUUUCAGUUUUUAUAUCGCGAAAGUAGACUUCUCGUGAACUAUAGUAAAGCCUAUGAGUCAACAUAAGGUUAUUUUUGCAAUUGACUUUUAAAAAGUAGACUUCUUUAAACCUCACGAGAAGUCUACUCGAUAUCCUUUGAAAACAAAAUAAAAUCAUAGUAGACUUCAUCUGACGGCUUAAGAAGUCUACGAAAGAAAAGAGGUUAUUUUUGUAGUUGACCGUAUUUUGACUUUUUAAUGUAGACUUCUAACUGAAGUUUACUGUUUACGUCUGCACACGAAGUCUACAUUUAGGUUAAUUUUGUAGUUUGACCAAAAACAUAUAGGUCAUUUUUGUGUUUGACUUAUGUUUUUCAAAAAUUAAAAAAUUAAAAAAAUUUCAAAAAGCUUCAGUAGACUUCACAAAGAAGUCUACAGUUUGUAGACUUCUUUGUGAAGUCUACUUAUUGUGUUCGGUCAAACUUAGAAGGAAUAUUUUUUUAGUAGACUUCAUUGUGAAGUCUACUAAAAAAAUUCAAUUGCAAAAAUAACCUAUUUCGUUCCGUAGACUUCUAUUUAUAAAGUAGACUUCAAACGUAGACUGCCAGAGAAGUCUACUCUUACAUGAAGUCUACAAUAGAAGUCUACUGUGUUAGUCAACGCGGUGGUCAAAUGCAAAAGUAACAUUCUUUGCCUGAAGUCUACAACUGAAGUCUACUGAAGAAAAAGUCAACGGAAUGGUCAAUUGCAAAAAUAACAUUUUUUUAGUAGACUUCAGUAGUAGACUUCUCAAUGAAAAAGUAGACUUCUCCUCCAGUCUACAUUCGAAGUCUAAAUAAGAAGUCUACUUUCCUAUGUUUUUUUUAAAACGCGUUUUAAGCAAAUGUAUAAAAUAUUUUUCAAACUUUUUGGUUCAGAAUUGCCUCUUAUUAGGUGAUUGAGCUACCCAUUGAAUUUUAUCUCAUUUCAUUGGAUAUUCAUGGUGGAAUCAGAAGUUUCAAUUUUUAAGAUACUUAGCUUAUAAAAGUAGACUUCGUAGUGAAGUCUACGUUCUAAGUCUACACUAGAAGUCUACGUUUAGACGUUUUUAUAAAAACGCCAUUUAAGCAAAUCUAUAAAAAAAAUUUCAAAUUUUUUUGUUUACAAUUGUUUAUUAAUUAGUGAUUGAACUAUCUAGGGCUUUUUAUUCUGUUUCAUUGAAUAUUUCUUGUUGAAUCAGAAUUUUCGAUUUUUAAGGUACUCAGCUUAUCAAAGUAGACUUCAUCGUGAAGUCUACUUUGAUACAAAAAGUCUCUAUGAUUGUUUGCUAAUACGGUUUAUAUGGUUAUUUUUCAGAGGAUGGCUCAAAUUCCAGACUUAUAAUUCUUAUCAUAAUAAAACUUUCUGUUGACUUAUACUAUCGGUGUACACUUUUCCGCAUACACUUUGUUUUGUAUACUCGAAAAUUACAUAACUUAAUUAUAAGGGUGAAAUCGAAAAUUUGAAAUAUUAACAUGUUAAUAGACUUAAUAGACUUCAGUACAGAUACAAUGACAAGUUAGUAGACUUCAGUCACAGACUUCAGUCGUAGACUUCAGUUUUAGUACAAAUCCUAAACGAAAAUACAACAUAUUUGGCAAGUUAAUUAUAAGAUAGGUGGCCAAAAAACUUCCACACCUAUUAUUUACCAAUUGCUAAAAUGACCUCCAAUCACAUGGAAGGUCAUUUAUGCAAAUAGCCCAAAAGUUGCCAUAAAAAUCAAAGUUAAUUUUAAGAACGAAAACACUAAGCUUGCCUAUCAUAGACAUCCAACCCGGUUGCAUCUAGCUUAUCAUGGCCCUUACAUCCUGUCGCAGCCAGCUGGCGGUGUCGGGCACUCGUUGCUCGGGAAACUAGCUGAGCCGCUUCUCUGGCUUUGGCAUUUUUGGCAAGUGCAACCGCAUCGAAGUCUACAUCACACGUCUUCGGGUCAAUUUCACAAAUACUAGGCUCUGGGGCCUCUUCUUCAUUAACGGCAGCCUUCUUUCCUUUUGCAUCCCCGGGGGUGUUAACACUCUCACACGCACCAACGUUGACAUUAGCCCUCUUCGGAGCAUCAUCUUUCUCUGAAUUACUCUGUAGUUUAUUGUCAGAAACAUGCAUGAAUAUACAAAUGAGUACACCAAUGCUAUAAUUUAGUAACAUGUUUUAUCAUAGUCUGAAAAUUGUAAACAACAAGUUUUGAAAACAUAAGUAAAUAAUCUCAAAUGGUACAUAACAGUAGUAAACAUGUUCGAAUUCAAAUGACAUUAGUAUUAAGUGUUCCUAACUUUGUGUGAUCCUGUUCGCAUGUAAUGUUUUCGUAUAGGCGGAGGGUUUUUGGAACUAACCCCUUCAUGCUUCUUGGAUCCAGUGCCCUGCUGCUGGGUUGGCUCUUCCUCAGUGUGCUUCGCCGACCCUGUAGUCAACUCUUCUACCGCACGCUCUACAGAUUCAACCUUCUCGGUGAGAAGUUUGAUCUGCUUUUCACAGCUACCAAGACCAUUCAGCAUCUUGGUUGAAAAGCUUUCGAAGCAUUGGUCGAAGUGCGCUUUCAUAGUAGCGACAACUCCGACCCCUUCAUCACCAACGAAUGAUGCGGCAGAUGCAGAGGCUGUGCAGGGUCUCUUGCGACUUGAUUCAUCUGAGGGAAGGCUCCUCUUUCAGGCUUCUGACUUGACGAUGUGUGCACCCAAAACACCUUCCAAAGGCCAAUGGUCUUUUGAGAACUUGGAAUUGGGGUCAUGGAGUGCAUUGACAAUCUUUACAAUAUCUGGAUCCUGUUCGUCAUCAUCCCACACGGGAAACAUAUCCGCCAAGUCCUUAGCCACGCAGGACUGUAUGCGAGCCUGGAAAAACACGAUUAAUAAAUAGAUUUAGAGCCAUAUGAAGCCUCGGAAAACUACGUAUGAAGUCUACUCCUGAAAUCUAACAUAGAAGUCUACCCCUGAAGUCUAACACAGAAGUCUACUCCUGAAUGUCACACACUAUUAAUGACACAUAUAGAAGUCUACACAUGAAGUCUACUUCUGAAGUCUACAUUGAAAACUCAUUACUACAUAGAAGUCUACUACACUAAUACAGUACUUGUUUUAGCAUGUUGGCUUUGACGUUCCUUCGUCCUCUGGAUCCUUUGUAAGCCAGCAAAAGAGGUUCUUCAGUAACAUUUGGCAAUGGUUCGCCAAAUUCAGCAGCAAAAUCUGGUAAAGCAUAGUAAACCCACAGUUGAAGAGCUUGCACAAAUCCUUCUAUAUGAAUGUUUUUGCUGAGAUCUUUCUCCUUAACAGAAUUGAUCAAAUGCUGAAAAGCAAUUCUUCCCCAUGGAAACUCCUUAAAACCUUCGAGAUUCAUCACUAGUCUGGCAUGGUUGACAUUUGUGGAUGAGCCGGGUCUCGUUGCCACUAUGAAACCAGCGUAGAUCCCAAGAUAACCCAACCGCAGCCUAUCAUCACGAGACCAUGAUGAGCAGUUGGAACAGGCUUCGAUAAUUUUGGUAGUGCUUGGGCCCGACUCGGCAUCGACCCCCAUUAGCUCCAAAAUGCACGCGUGUCAUCGGAAAGCGCAAGAUCAGUUAAAGCCAAGUCAUCCACGUACCCGCAGUUAAGUCCGGUGAUCUCCUCAAACUCAUGCAAUAAAAACCGAACAGGAGUGGUACCAAUGAGGCUCCAUAUCUCGUACCUCUGCUUGCAAACUAUCUGAAAGGUCAGCAUGUGGUGCACCAGCCUAGAAGCCCAACCAAAAUCCAACUCGUGGAACUUUAAAAAGACACCCAACGGUGACUCGUAAAUCUCUUCCCAUUCAUCCUCCUCUAGAGCUGACUUUAGUGCAUGGACCAGCCUAUAAUCAUCAGCGUAAUAGCCGAUGCUUUUAUCCGGGACUGGCUCAAACCCUUUGGUGUAAAGUCUUCUGGGGAAUUCAGAGGCCAUUAUCUAACAAAGAUUCCUGCGUCAACAGUAACAAAGCUCUAAUGAGAAAAACUAGUAACGGUUUGAAACUAUACCCGAAUGAAGUCUACAGUUUCAAAAUGAAGUCUACUUUAUUAAAAUGAAGUCUACUUUCCCAAAAUAAAGUCUACUUUCCCAAAAUGAAGUCUACUUUCCCAAUAUGUGAAGUCUACUUUCAGUAAAAGAAGUCUACUUUCACAAAAAGAAGUCUACUUUCACAAAAAGAAGUCUACUUUCACAAAAUGAAGUCUACUUUCACAAAAUGAAGUCUACUUUCACAAAAUGAAGUCUACUUUCACAAAAUGAAGUUUACUUUCACAAAUGAAGUCUACUUUCACAAAAUGAAUUCUACUUUCACUAAAAUUACAGUAUAUGAAGUCAAUCUACAAAGUUUAGAGUGUUACCGCCUUUAUUAGAUGUAGCUGGCGCCGAGAAAAUACAACCAGAUCUGGUAAAAAAACCUAAGUCAAACCCGACGGAACAAAAAUUACAGGAAGAUAGAAGAAAUUUAAGAAUUGCUAAGGAUAUAACUUCGGAACAACAUCUACUAACCGUUUUGAGGCAGAAAAUUACUUUAACCUCCAACGGCGAAAGCAAAUCUGCAAAAAAAAACAAAAACCCUAAUUUCGGAUCUCGAAAACGGAACGGUGAUGAAUACAGAGGAGUAGGGAAGCAUGGGGGUGUGGUUGGAGAAAGAAAACUUGCCUGAACGAGUUUAUCGGCGGCAGUUCUGAAUGUCGACGGCGCCGGAGCAGAGAAACGGAAAUUGCCUUCGAGUUUUUUUUUUUACACGAACUUUUCGACGGUUUUUUUUUAACGGGAUCUGUAAUUCGUAUAUAUAGUCUGGUAAUUCCGUACGGUUCGGGUAAGUUUUUUCCGGUUAAAGUUGCUAAUUUUUCGGGGUCUAGGUUAAUUUACCCGGUUAAGGGCAGUUUCUCUUGGUUAAGGGAAGUUAUUUCCGGUUUAAUCUCGGUUAAAUAUCCGUUAGGUUAAUUUUUACGGUUUAGUAGACUUCAAUAUCGAAGUCUACAACUUUUAAAACCUAAAUAAUAAAUUUAUUUCUAUUUAAUUUAAAAACAUACAUUUCCAUUUACCAAUGUGAAAAAACUAAUUUUUUUGUAUUUGGGUUACUAUUAUGGAAUUUAUGAUGGUAAAAUUCAGACCAAAAUAAUUUUUUAUAAAUUUUUAAAUUAAAUUUACAGAUUUAAUUAUUUAGUAGACUUCAGUUUUACUUUAGUAGACUUCGUAAGGGAGAAAACGGUAAUUAGGAUAUCCGUUUUUUGUUUACACAUACAGGAUUAAAUGGUUUUUUCACUACCCCUGUAGAUUAUAUCUGUCAAAUGUUUUUUCAGGAGUCUACUUUUGUAUUCAAAAUCAAAUUUUGGGUUAUUUUUAGCAAAAACCCCAUAUUUUAAAAUGUUUACUCAAAUAAUAAUAUAGAGAUUCGUUGGACUCCCCCUUUUAGAACUUGGAGAUUUUGUUCAUUGUUUCUAAUUCUUGAAAGUUAUUGUUUCUCGUUGCAGGUUAUAAAAGCUUGAGGAGAUUAAGAGACCUGGAGAUUCUGGAUCUCUCCUGGAAUAAUUUCAACAACAGCAUCUUUCCCUUUCUUAACGCUGCUACAUCACUCACAACUCUGUUUCUUAGGGGCAACAAAAUGGUUGGCCCUUUUUCGGUUAAAGGUAUGUUUCCCAUUUGUAUAUAUAUAGCAUGUCCUAAUUAUUUUAGGGACGAUGUAUCAUUCUUAUAUUUUGUUGGACUCCAUUUCAGAACUCAAAGAUUUGACAAACUUGGAACUGCUGGACCUGAGUGCAAACAGUUAUAACGGCUCCAUACCAGUACGAGGUAGUCCAUUAAUGCUUGCUCACUUACAACAUUUGUUGGAUUGGUUUGCCUCGUCCUUGAGAUGAACAUAUCCAUAUUUUGUUACCUUUGUCUGUGGCAGAGAUAACUUCGCUCAGGAAGUUGAAAGCUCUGGAUCUAAGUGAUAAUGAAUUUUCGGGUUCAAUGGAUUUGCAAGGCAAGUUUGCUCAAAUAUUUCACUUUUUCAUAUUAAAACAAUAAACAAAAACAAUAAACAAAGGUUGUGGUUGAAUUCACGUUAAUCAAAGUGACUAAACUUUUUGCAUCUGAUUACCUUAGGUAUUUGCAAAUUGAAGAAUAUGCAAGAGCUCGAUCUCAGUUACAACAAACUUGUAGGUCAGUUUCCCUUAUGUUUAACUAGCUUGACUGAACUUCGAGUUCUUGAUCUCUCAUCAAACCAGUUGACUGGGGAGAUCCCAUCUGCUCUCGGUAACCUUGAAUCCCUUGAGUAUUUAUCAUUGUUAGAUAACGACUUUGAAGGCUUCUUCUCAUUUGGUUGGCUCGUCAAACUCUCAGAGCUUAAAGUGUUGAAACUUGGCUCAAAAUCCAACUCGUUUCAAGUAGAUUCUAAGAGUUCCUGGAAACCAAAAUUUCGGCUGAAUGUUAUUGUACUACGAUCUUGCAACUUGGAAAUAGUUCCUCGUUUUCUCCUACAGCAGAAAGGUUUGAAUUAUGUUGAUCUUUCCGACAAUAAAAUUUCUGGAAACUUUCCUUGUUGGCUAUUGGCGAACAAUACAGAGCUCGAAGUUUUGCUUCUGAAGAAUAAUAUUCUUACGAGCUUUCAGCUACCGGAAUCUGCUCAUGAUCUAGUUGCCCUUGACGUGUCAGUCAAUGAAUUCAAUCAUAUGUUUCCUGAGAACAUUGGGUUGAUACUUCCACAUUUACGGUAUAUGAAUAUAUCGAAGAACGGCUUUCAAGGAAAUCUGCCAUCUUCUCUGGGUAACAUGAGUGGGAUUAAAAGUCUGGAUGUAUCUCACAACAGUUUCCAGGGAAAGCUACCAAGAAGCUUAGUAAAGGGUUGUUAUAACUUG